ensembl:antisense
GGAUUCACACUGAGCACGUGUGUCUGCCUAGGCUUGGGCUGUUUUCUGGGAUGGACUACCUGAAAUUCAUCACCCAAACCUGCAAGUAGAGCUCCCCGUUGGGAUACAAAUUUGAUCCCAGAGACUCCUGCAGUGUGCGCAUCCUGUAGAGAGGCUCCUGCACUUCUAAUUU